GACGAACGCUGGCGGCGUGCCUAAUACAUGCAAGUAGAACGCUGAAGGAGGAGCUUGCUCUUCUGGAUGAGUUGCGAACGGGUGAGUAACGCGUAGGUAACCUGCCUGGUAGCGGGGGAUAACUAUUGGAAACGAUAGCUAAUACCGCAUAAGAGUAGAUGUUGCAUGACAUUUACUUAAAAGGUGCAAUUGCAUCACUACCAGAUGGACCUGCGUUGUAUUAGCUAGUUGGUGGGGUAACGGCUUACCAAGGCGACGAUACAUAGCCGACCUGAGAGGGUGAUCGGCCACACUGGGACUGAGACACGGCCCAGACUCCUACGGGAGGCAGCAGUAGGGAAUCUUCGGCAAUGGACGGAAGUCUGACCGAGCAACGCCGCGUGAGUGAAGAAGGUUUUCGGAUCGUAAAGCUCUGUUGUUAGAGAAGAACGAGUGUGAGAGUGGAAAGUUCACACUGUGACGGUAGCUUACCAGAAAGGGACGGCUAACUACGUG
rnacentral:rRNA from 1 species